rnacentral:rRNA from 1 species
AACGAACGCUGGCGGCAUGCCUAACACAUGCAAGUCGAACGAGACCUUCGGGUCUAGUGGCGCACGGGUGCGUAACGCGUGGGAACCUGCCUUUAGGUUCGGAAUAACUCCCCGAAAGGGGUGCUAAUACCGGAUAAUGUCUUCGGACCAAAGAUUUAUUGCCAUUAGAUGGGCCCGCGUUAGAUUAGCUAGUUGGUGAGGUAACGGCUCACCAAGGCGACGAUCUAUAGCUGGUCUGAGAGGAUGAUCAGCAUCGCUGGGACUGAGACACGGCCCAGACUCCUACGGGAGGCAGCAGUGGGGAAUAUUGGACAAUGGGGGAAACCCUGAUCCAGCCAUGCCGCGUGAAUGAUGAAGGCCUUCGGGUUGUAAAGUUCUUUUGACGGGGACGAUGAUGACGGUACCCGUAGAAUAAGCUCCGGCUAACUUCGUGCCAGCCGCCGCCGUAAGAC